UACGAAGGGGGCUAGCGUUGCUCGGAAUUACUGGGCGUAAAGGGCGCGUAGGCGGACAGUUUAGUCAGAGGUGAAAGCCCAGGGCUCAACCUUGGAAUUGCCUUUGAUACUGGCUGUCUUGAGUUCGGGAGAGGUGAGUGGAAUGCCGAGUGUAGAGGUGAAAUUCGUAGAUAUUCGGCGGAACACCAGUGGCGAAGGCGACUCACUGGCCCGAUACUGACGCUGAGGCGCGAAAGCGUGGGAGCAACAGGAGUAGUACCAUAC
rnacentral:rRNA from 1 species